AGAGCCACCACAUCAAUUAGAUAUCUAGAUUAGCAUAGCUACAUAGGAUUAGAACUAGAAGGAGUCAAUCUUCGAGAAAAUAUAUACGAGGAAAUAAAAAGGAGCAAGUGCUCGGAACCUCGAAAGAAAAGAAAAAGUGAGACGAGAGGUAAAAAUGGACAAGUGUCCGACAGUAGAAUUAGGGGUACAAGAUACCCACCUGAGAGAAAAGAAAAGAAAAAGAAGAGCAUCUCAUUCUCCUCACAAAGUUUCAAAAAGCAAGAAAGGUAUGUAUCCCCUCAAAGAGCAAAAGUAGAAUUAGACUUCCACCAUUGUUAUCACCAUCAUCACCAUACACCAUUCAUUCGCCACACAUGCACAUCUUGAUAUGGCUUAUUGAUUUGUUUCUUUGGAUCCAUGGUUUGACUAUGCAAUACAUGUCUUGUAAGUAUGUAUACUUUAUCUCCCACCUAUGAGCUCCAGAUAUUAAAGCCUUAUUAGAGUAGGGUGAGAGAGAAGACAAUGUCAUUAUGCUUCAUACCAUAAAUACCACAUAUCUUCAGAGAAGGCAUAUACCAUCACUGCCUUGGUAAGGAUCCAGAAAUACCACAAAAGAGAGAUCUGAGAGAGUCAUACAAGGAAUCUCUGAGUUUUAUUUGAAAAUCUGCAAAAACCCCAGAGCUAUAGCUGAUCAAGAAUAAGAGAC
rnacentral:lncRNA from 1 species